UACGUAGGGACCAAGCGUUGUUCGGAUUUACUGGGCGUAAAGGGCGCGUAGGCGGCGUGGUAAGUCACUUGUGAAAUCUCUGAGCUUAACUCAGAACGGCCAAGUGAUACUGCUGUGCUCGAGUGUGGAAGGGGCAAUCGGAAUUCUUGGUGUAGCGGUGAAAUGCGUAGAUAUCGAGAGGAACACCUGAGGUGAAGACGGGUUGCUGGGCCAACACUGACGCUGAGGCGCGAAAGCCAGGGGAGCAAACGGG
rnacentral:rRNA from 1 species